rnacentral:rRNA from 1 species
CUACGGGACGCUCCAGUGAGGAAUAUUGCACAAUGGGGGGAACCCUGAUGCAGCAACGCCGCGUAGAGGAUGACGCAUUUCGGUGUGUAAACUCCUUUUAUAUGUCAAGAAAAUGACGGUAGCAUAUGAAUAAGCACCGGCUAACUCCGUGCCAGCAGCCGCGGUAAUACGGAGGGUGCAAGCGUUACUCGGAAUCACUGGGCGUAAAGGACGCGUAGGCGGUUUGGAAAGUCAGGUGUGAAAUCCUACAGCUUAACUGUAGAACUGCACUUGAAACUUCUAAUCUAGAGUAUGGGAGGGGGAGAUGGAAUUAGUGGUGUAGGGGUAAAAUCCGUAGAUAUCACUAGGAAUACCUAAAGCGAAGGCGAUCUCCUGGAACAUUACUGACGCUAAGGCGUGAAAGCGUGGGGAGCAAACAGGAUUAGAUACCCGCGUAGUC